AGAGCUUCUCGGCUCUCUAUGAGCUAAGAUCAAGCGUAGUACCUGUUCUUAUCAGUUUAAUAUCUGAUAUGUCUUUUAUUUAUGGACAAAAUUAGCGUUUCCUAAAGUAGUCAGGCAACAUGACUACUUUAAACACCCU
rnacentral:snRNA from 1 species